rnacentral:pre_miRNA from 1 species
GGUAUCAGACACUUGGUUAGGUGGUCAAGACAUUAUUUGGACACAGCAAUGACGUCCACGGUUCAAAUCUCAUUGCCGAUCUUUCUAAGAAAGUAAAGUUGACGAGGAUUUGAACCCUGGUCGUCGCGCUGUGGCCUUGAUGUUAUAGCUAUCAAACUAAGAGCCCGGACUCC